rnacentral:rRNA from 1 species
UNCGAUUGCGAAGGCAGCUUGCUGGACUGUAACUGACGCUGAGGCACGAAAGCGUGGGGAUCAAACAGGAUUAGAUACCNUGGUANNCCACGCCGUAAACGAUGAAUGCUAGCUGUUAGCGAUAUACUGUUAGCGGCACAGAGAAAUCGUUAAGCAUUCCACCUGGGGAGUACGCCGGCAACGGUGAAACUCAAAGGAAUUGACGGGGGCCCGCACAAGCGGAGGAACAUGUGGUUUAAUUCGAUGAUACGCGAGGAACCUUACCUGGGCUUAAAUUGCAGUGGAAUAACGUGGAAACAUGUUAGCCUUCGGGCCGCUGUGAAGGUGCUGCAUGGUUGUCGUCAGCUCGUGCCGUGAGGUGUCGGCUUAAGUGCCAUAACGAGCGCAACCCUCAUCGAUAGUUACUAACAGGUCAAGCUGAGGACUCUAUCGAGACUGCCGACGUAAGUCGUGAGGAAGGUGGGGAUGACGUCAAAUCAGCACGGCCCUUACGUCCAGGGCUACACACGUGUUACAAUGGGGGGUACAAAGGGCAGCUACCUGGCGACAGGAUGCUAAUCUCAAAAACCUCUCUCAGUUCGGAUUGGAGUCUGCAACCCGACUCCAUGAAGCUGGAUUCGCUAGUAAUCGCGCAUCAGCCACGGCGCGGUGAAUACGUUCCCGGGCCUUGUACACACCGCCCGUCAAGCCAUGGGAGCCGGGGGGACCUGAAGUAUGCAACCGUAAGGAGCGUCCUAGGGUAAAACUGGUGACUGGGGCU